AAGUCGAGCGAAUGGAUUAAGAGCUUGCUCUUAUGAAGUUAGCGGCGGMCGGGUGAGUAACACGUGGGUAACCUGCCCAUAAGACUGGGAUAACUCCGGGAAACCGGGGCUAAUACCGGAUAAYAUUUUGAACYGCAUGGUUCGAAAUUGAAAGGCGGCUUCGGCUGUCACUUAUGGAUGGACCCGCGUCGCAUUAGCUAGUUGGUGAGGUAACGGCUCACCAAGGCRACGAUGCGUAGCCGACCUGAGAGGGUGAUCGGCCACACUGGGACUGAGACACGGCCCAGACUCCUACGGGAGGCAGCAGUAGGGAAUCUUCCGCAAUGGACGAAAGUCUGACGGAGCAACGCCGCGUGAGUGAUGAAGGCUUUCGGGUCGUAAAACUCUGUUGUUAGGGAAGAACAAGUGCUAGUUGAAUAAGCUGGCACCUUGACGGUACCUAACCAGAAAGCCACGGCUAACUACGUGCCAGCAGCCGCGGUAAUACGUAGGUGGCAAGCGUUAUCCGGAAUUAUUGGGCGUAAAGCGCGCGCAGGUGGUUUCUUAAGUCUGAUGUGAAAGCCCACGGCUCAACCGUGGAGGGUCAUUGGAAACUGGGAGACUUGAGUGCAGAAGAGGAAAGUGGAAUUCCAUGUGUAGCGGUGAAAUGCGUAGAGAUAU
rnacentral:rRNA from 1 species